AAGUCGUAACAAGGUUUCCGUAGGUGAACCUGCGGAAGGAUCAUUAUCGUGGGGAUUCGUCCCUAUCGAGAUAGCACCCUUUGUCUAUGAGUACCUUCUGUUUCCUCGGCGGGCUUGCCCGCCAACGGGGACCACAUAAACCCUUUGUAAUAGCAGUAACUUCUGAUAACAAACAAAUAUUAAAACUUUCAACAACGGAUCUCUUGGUUCUG
rnacentral:misc_RNA from 1 species